AGUCUGCACUAGUGCAUUCUUCUUUGCUCUGAGUGAUUUGUUCACACAGAAAUGGGGCUGUUCCUGCAAUUACGGGACAUGAAAAGCUGAUGGGAUUUGCCGCAUUUAUCCUGAGAUUUCCAAAUAAGACCACGGUGAUCAAGAAUAGAAAGUUAAGGCCAGACAAAAAUGACAUGUGCCUCGUGACUAACGGAGAACUUCUAUGGGGCGGCCCUGCAGAAAUUAAGGGGCCCAGAUGUGCACACCUUGGCUCCUGAGAGGCAGACAGGGCUGCUUUGAGGAUGGCACUUGGAACCCACUCUGGUGGGAGGAACAGCACAGGAAAGAUGCAGAGCUCAAGGGAAUGGUGAAAGGGCCAACAAGCCAAUCGAAGUGGUCACCUGCGAUGCUAUUCAGAAUGGAAGAACUCAAGCCAACCUAACACCCGGGGUCUGCAGAUCCAUAAUCUCACAGUAAGAAAUGAAAAUAUCCAGCUAGCAGGGUUUUGCCUCCUGAACCAAAUUAACAGAUGCAAAAGACAACAUUUCCUGCUUUUCAGAGGUAUGAGUCAUCUCGGCUGCUGCAAGAUGGACACAUCUUAACAUAUUGUCAUCUCCUUGGAUUCAGUAUUAAAUAAUAAAGCAUUUAAGCAAACUG